AGCGGCGGACGGGUGAGUAACACGUGGGUAACCUGCCCAAGAGACUGGGAUAACACCUGGAAACAGAUGCUAAUACCGGAUAACAACACUAGACGCAUGUCUAGAGUUUGAAAGAUGGUUCUGCUAUCACUCUUGGAUGGACCUGCGGUGCAUUAGCUAGUUGGUAAGGUAACGGCUUACCAAGGCAAUGAUGCAUAGCCGAGUUGAGAGACUGAUCGGCCACAUUGGGACUGAGACACGGCCCAAACUCCUACGGGAGGCAGCAGUAGGGAAUCUUCCACAAUGGACGAAAGUCUGAUGGAGCAACGCCGCGUGAGUGAAGAAGGGUUUCGGCUCGUAAAGCUCUGUUGGUAGUGAAGAAAGAUAGAGGUAGUAACUGGCCUUUAUUUGACGGUAAUUACUUAGAAAGUCACGGCUAACUACGUGCCAGCAGCCGCGGUAAUACGUAGGUGGCAAACGUUGUCCGGAUUUAUUGGGCGUAAAGCGAGUGCAGGCGGUUCAAUAAGUCUGAUGUGAAAGCCUUCGGCUCAACCGGAGAAUUGCAUCAGAAACUGUUGAACUUGAGUGCAGAAGAGGAGAGUGGAACUCCAUGUGUAGCGGUGGAAUGCGUAGAUAUAUGGAAGAACACCAGUGGCGAAGGCGGCUCUCUGGUCUGCAACUGACGCUGAGGCUCGAAAGCAUGGGUAGCGAACAGGAUUAGAUACCCUGGUAGUCCAUGCCGUAAACGAUGAGUGCUAAGUGU
rnacentral:rRNA from 1 species